rnacentral:misc_RNA from 1 species
AUGGAAUAAACCUGGUGGACUGUCGCUGGCUCUCUUGAGAGCAUGUGCACGUCUGUCAUCUUUAUCUUUCCACCUGUGCACCUUUUGUAGACCUGGAUGCUUAAUAUAUCAAUCUGAGGUCAACUCAGGCGUGAGGACUGUCGGCGUCGCAAGAUAUCGGCUUUCCUUGUAGCAUCCAGGGACUAUGUUUUUCAUACACACUUUAAAAAUCUAAUAGAAUGUCGUUUUAAAGGGUCUUUGUACCUAUAUAAAACAAAUAUA